GAGCGCCAGGGUCUGCCCUGACAAUGGCCUGCAGCUGGACGUGGGGCCACACGGCCACCUGGCUGCUCCUGGCCCGUUUCGCCCUGGGGUCCAGACUCCCUCCUGUUUCCUGUGAGUCUCCCCUAAGAUUUGAAGGAAUUUGACCAACACCUUGGCCUGGGGGGACCUGGGAGAGAAGAGGGGGAUGGAGCUCAGAGCUGGCCCUCGGCAGCCUUACAUGGUGAUCGUCUGGUCCCGCUAAGCCGCGCCUUGGAGGCUCUGCUGUGGGAGCCUAGCAAGUGUUUAUUUUUAGAAGCUCUUACUCCAACACCAGGGCUGGGCCCAAAUAACACAUGUAUUUUAGUGGUUCAAAAAUACAAGUUUAUGGUAAGUCAUUCGAUGUGGAGAAAGUGCCAAACCAGUGAGUGCAGUGAGAGGUUUCCUGGGGCCACGGGCCUCCUCCUGCAGGUGGCCCAGGUGCACUUGACUAGCUGGAGCGUGUGGCUAUAAUCCCAGGAAAUGUAUCCCUCCUCUCGGAGGGACUCGGGCUCAGGAGCACACACUGAAGAUGGGAGGCCAGGACCCAGAGUGUGACCGUCCUGGCCCUAGGAGGGCAGGGCAGCCUUUGGUUUGCUAUCAGAGCCUCGAGGCCUGGCACUGAGCCCGGCGUCCCCUGGAGCUCCCUGCUGCAUUGGAUCAGCAGCUGGCAGACAGGUGGGCCAGCGGGCCGAGUUUUCCCCAGGACUGGGUGAAGGAGGCAUUGCUAGGAAGUCCCCAGAUGCAGCAGGCACCCAGAACAGCCGGCCCUCCCUGUCCUGGGAGAGGCAUCUACCCCACUGGAGGCUGAGCCCUCGCCCCACCACCGUGGCCCCUGCUCCACAUCACCAUCACCAGUGGCUUGUUAGAGAUGCGGAUGGACCCUCAGUCCCCAUCACACGGGUGGUGGAUCUCAUAAAACCUCCCAGACCAGGCUCUGCAGCUGCGGGGCUCAGCUGGUGGCUCUCGCUCAGGGACUCCUGAAGGGCACCCAA
rnacentral:lncRNA from 1 species